AGCCACAGCCAUAUCAUCCUGCAGCCCAAGCCCAAGGUUACUCACUGAAGCUAAGCAGGGCUGAGCCUGGUUAGUACCUAGAUGGGAGACCACUAGGGAACACUAGGUUGCUGUUGGAA
rnacentral:rRNA from 1 species